rnacentral:rRNA from 1 species
AUGAGUUUUCAUGAAGAUGAGGGCACCAACAGAGGCCAAUCCACAGAACUGAAGCCACACAACCUAGAUGCAUGUAUGUCAGAAAGCGGAGAUGAAUGGGGAUUGGACCCGGAGGAGCUACAAAAAGUGUGCUAUGAGGCGGAAAAGGCAUUUGCAUUGAAGAAAGAAAAGGAGAGGCUAGAGAUGGAGGAGAGGCUAAGAAAUGGAAGGCAAAUCAACGAUCAAAAUUCAAAAACAUCAGUCAUAGCAACCACAAAUGCAGAAAAUGUCGCUAGCUCAUCAAGGACUCCAGCAGCGGUUGGGAACGAGCGGAGAGUUCGAGCCCAUCAUAAACUAUGA